UCUUCCGAGGUUAGAGAUGUGGAUGAGAGGGAGAAUUACUUUUCACAUGUGAGGCACCAAUGGCAGUGUCUUUUGGACUUCUCUAAAUUUUCGCAUUUCUCACCUUCCCUGUGUUCUUUUUGUUCUGUUCGCCUUCUUUCAACUUUUUUGAUACAAGGUUGUCGGAGCCGUUGGCGUCGAUGGUCAGCAUAAUGAACUUUGAUAGGAGGCGUAGUACUGAAUAUGAGUGUAUUAGGAGAAAUCAUAGACAUGAUGUUAGGGAAAAUCAGUGUAGCUCUUCACUUGUAAAGCAUAUUAGAGCUCCUGUUCAUCGUAUUUGAUCAUUAGUGAGGAGGUUUGAUCAGCCACAGAGAUAUAAACCAUUUGUCAGCAGGUGCAUCGUGCAAUGGGACCUUGAAAUUGGUAGUGUCAGAGAAGUGAAUGUUAAGUCCGGACUCCCAGCUACCACAAGUAAGGAGAGAUUAGAGCUUCUAAAUGUCGAGGAACACAUCUUUGGUGUAAAGAUUGUGGGUGGAGAUCACAGGCUCAGGGUAUGAAUAUUUUAUCUUCUCAUUUGACAUGUUAAUCGGCUUGUUAGACUUAGAUGCUUAUUUUAUGUGCGGGAAACCUUGUUAAACGGGGAAAAAAUUAUAUGUGCUGUCAACUUUGUUGAGGUAAUGUGUUUUGAGCUUCUAAUUGAAGUUUCAUUUUCCUAAAAGAAGGAAUACA